rnacentral:lncRNA from 1 species
CAAAUAUGAGAGCAGUGAAAUGAAGCCAUAUGUAGUGAGCAGGAACCAGUUAAAUAGCAGACCCUCAGCUGAAAGUUAUUGCUUCAGGGUUGAAAGCAGAAAGACAGGGGCUUUGGAAAAGACACAGGAAAGCUUGUAAUUAACUUCACAGGAAGAAUUCCUUAGAGACUGUUUAAUCUUCCAGUGCACAAAGCUAAUAUUAAAAAAAAUUCUUCAAGUUAAGAAAUUAUCUCCAUUUUCACAUGAGCAAGAUGGCAAACGACACAUCCUUGUCUGAUGCAUAUCUAAGUUCACAUGAGUAAAGGAACUGGAGAUCAGCCAGAUCACUUGUAUGCACAAAGCCACUGUGGAUCUGUCUUUCAAAUAAGAGCUGCAGAAAACGCUAUAGCAAGAUUGAAGCUUUAUCCACUCUGGUAAGAGAAGCUUUCUUUUUCUUUGCUAUGGUGAGAGUUUGAUAAGAAAUCCUUUUAAGCCAUAAUGUGGUC